CGUGAUAUUGGUUUGGCUCAUC
rnacentral:miRNA from 1 species